rnacentral:misc_RNA from 1 species
GCCGAAGGUGGGGCUGAUGACUGGGGUGAAGUCGUAACAAGGUAGCCGUACCGGAAGGUGCGGCUGGAUCACCUCCUAACAGGGAGACAAAAACUGAUUAUGAUGUCUGAAUAAAAUUUAGGCCGUAAUCCUGUCACCUUAGGUCGAUCGGUACCUCAGAUUGAGUACUAGAUAGAGCAUGAUUAAUCAUAUUCAUCUCGUUUUCAAUUUCAGUUUCUAAACUUGUCUAGGUCACACCCAACACACUUUCUCCUGGGCUAUUAGCUCAGGCGGUUAGAGCGCACCCCUGAUAAGGGUGAGGUCCCUGGUUCAAGUCCAGGAUGGCCCAUUCGUUGUUGGGGGUAUAGCUCAGUUGGUAGAGCGCCUGCUUUGCAAGCAGGAUGUCAGCGGUUCGAGUCCGCUUACCUCCACUGAUCAACUACCUGAUAACUCAGUAUGGAGAUUGUCAUUUGGUUAAUGUGAUUUAGAUGUUGUUCAUCUGAAUGAACCUAGCUUCCUAUCAUUCCUUGACUUUUCAUGGUUGAUAAGACGCUGGGCUCACUGUUAUUCGAAAGAAUAUCAGUUUGAUUCAGCAGAACCUUGACAACUGCAUAGGAAAAUCUAGAAAAAUAAAGCAUCUCAUAGAUGCAUAAAAGCUAUUUGUCUAAUUAUUAGAUUUAAUUGUUUUUAUGUUCAAUUCUUGAGUUAGAGCAUAAUUUCUUUAAACUUAAAACCACUUAAUUUAAGUGUUUAUUUUGUAAAUAGAAAUUUUAAUGGUCAAGCUACAAAGGGCUC